UUUUUUCUCAUACACACGUGUGUGCAUGGAGUUG
rnacentral:sRNA from 1 species